UACAGAGGGUGCAAGCGUUGCUCGGAUUUACUGGGCGUAAAGCGUACGCAGACGGUGAGAAAGGUCGGAUGUGAAAGCCCCGGGCUCAACCCGGGAACUGCAUCCGAAACCAUCUCGCUCGAGUGUGGGAGAGGGAAGCGGAAUUCCUGGUGUAGAGGUGAAAUUCGUAGAUAUCAGGAGGAACGACCGGCGGCGAAGGCGCUUCCUG
rnacentral:rRNA from 1 species